AACAACGCAUGCAGUGACAUUCACAUGCUAAAGCUGUAGCUUGUUUACACAAGUUUCCCCCCCUUUCUUCUUGGAGAAACCAACAUUAAGCCAGACAAUGGUCGCAAUGUGGUCCUCAUCUGAGAGUGGGCCGGGCUGACAAAGCGAGGAGUCAGCUGGCCGCUGGUUUUCUCUGGAGUGGAUGUUCUCAUCAGUGGGAGGAAGCAUUGUUUUAACCUAAAGGGCUGUGAUAAAUACACAACUUUUCAAAGCAACAAUACUGGUUCAUUUUCUUAUAAAAGAAAUUUAGUUUUUUUUAACCAAACAAACUCGUUUUAGCUACAUUUCUUAAAAUGCUAAGGUUAUAAAAUAAUUUGAAAAUUGUGUCAUCAAUAAAUAACCAAUACUUGCACAACCUAACAGCCUACAGCUAUGUUGUAAAAGUCUAAGAAUCACACAAUCAUUGGUAUAGAGCUCCGGACCCCACGUGACUCUCAGUUAGUGGACGCCAUUUUGGCAUGCAAAAAAGGUAAACAAACACGGAUGUAACCAUGAACAUGAACGGGAUCCGCUUGGAUUUUACUUCGUCUGAGUUUACUUCACACUUUAAAACAGAAGAAAUCGUUUUAUAUAGUCAGAAAUUAAAUAGACUAAACAUCUCCGACCCUUACCGUGCCCCUGGGAUACUUUUUAAAAACGCCAGAAGCGCACAACACCGGACCUGACCGGGGAAACCCCUUGGGAUUCCCCCGGCCGGAGGAGCUGGAGAGAAGGUCUGGGACUCUCGACUCUACUGCCCGCUCCGACGCCAGAAGCUGUCGGAGCGGGCUUCUUACCGGCACAACACCAGACCUGACCGGGGAACCCCUUGGGAUUCCCCCGGCCGGAGGAGCUGGCUCCGGCGGCUGGGGAGAGGGAAGUCACGCUACUGCCCCCGCAACCCGACUCCGGAUACGCGGAUGAAAAUAGAUGGAUGGAUGGACAAAUAACAGAUUUACACAAGCUGUCGGAGCGGACUUCUUACCGGACCUGGCCGGGGAACCCCUUGGGAUUCCCCCGGAGGAGCUGGCCCAAGUGGCUGGGGAGAGGGAAGUCUGGGCCUCUCGACGCUACUGCCCUUGUAACCCAACUCCGGAUAAGUGGGUGAAAAUGGAUGGAUGGAUGGACAAAUAACAGAUUUACUUGUAAGUAGUUUAAAUAGAGUGCUGUGCUGUUUGAAUGUAUAAACUGAACGCCAAGAGAAAUCACUAGUUUGAUUUUUUUUCCGUGCUGUGACAACAGAACGAGUUGAGCUGUGGUCGUCCGACUUGAACUGGAUAGGCGGCUACGACCAGGGAGCCACUGGGCGGUGUGAGCGGAAAACACCUACACCACAGCCUGCUGUGAAAGUAUUCCUGAAAUAGGGACAGACAGUGACUGAAGGCGAGGGGGCACAGAGGUGCUGGUGUGUGUGUGAACAGUAAUACGCACCGCCUGCAGGGACAACCAAACUCUGCAUCUCCUAAGUGGCGAUGGAGGAGUCACACCAGUGGAACCGAUGUCCCCGAUCAGCGAUGGGCUGGAAAAGACAGAAAAGGAAUAGGUGGAGGGGUCAGGGAGGAAAAAACGAGAAUGCUGAGACAGCGUUUGCCCUAACCCUCAGAGAGGAAGAGCGAGCAGCUGGGUGGAGGUGAAUGGAGAGGAGUAAAGAUGGGGAGGAAGGUGCAGGAGGGGUCUCAUUUAUGAUUAAGAUGGGAUCAGGUCCAUCACUUCCAUUUAAAAUGAGGCUCUAAUGGUUCAGUGGUAAGUAGGGGAGGGCCAUGAUAGCUCUCACCUGAAGAUGAAGAUCCUCUGAGCUUCCUUCGAGGAAUCCAUCACAUUUGGGAAUUUUUAGGGGGACACGCAAAUAUAUCUGUAAUGGCUAAAUAUUUUAAAACUUUAUAUCCUCAUAAUAAAAAAGAGCGUAACUAAUGAAUGUUUGGCUGUACACAGGUGCCACUGCAUGCCUGCUAUAAUUUAUAUAUAUUUUUUAUUUUAUUGUUUUUUUUGAGAGCAUGUUCUCAUUUGCAGACAUGACCUGGCCAAGACGUCUUGGAAGGACUAAUGGGCGGGUGAUUUAUCCAACAAUACCGGGCCUGAAUGUCAAACAUGUCCCACUCCAGACAGAACAUUGAAGACUCGGGUUUUUCUUUGCUCAUUUUCAGAUCAGAGCACGAAAUACAUUUAAGUUGCAUCAAACCACCUACAACCCAGACAUUUUCCUGCUAAAUACAAGAGAAACCAACACAAGACCACCAAAAGUCUAUGUAAAUGAAAUGAAUAGAUUGCUUUAGUGUGUUUUGAAUAUAACAGUCAAAAACAAAUUCAGGGAAAAAGGGGUUAAAAUUGGAGCUGUUGGUCAAAAAUGGCCACAACAUACAUUUGAACAAGCACUGAUAGUUUCUAGCAACAGAAAAUCUGCACUUUUGUUUUAAUUUGAAAGUUACUGGAUGUUUUACACCGCUCCCAUGUUUGAGUUCUUGUUUGGCCCGAUCUGAACUGCUGAGCGUUGACGUAAAACAAUAGAACUGAUGAGAUCUACCAGAGGUGGGCGAUAUAUCAAAAUGUAUCGAUACCGAAAUGUAUGGCUAUUACCUGCGUCAACAUGUUAGGUAUUCAAAAAAAAAAAAAAAAAAAAAGAUGUUCACAUGACUGUACACGUUGUCAGAGGAAACGAGAGAGCGCUCUCGUGACACCAGUCACCAUUUUUUUGGUCCAAACAUCUUUGGUUGUCAGUGGUGUUUUUCUUUCUGGGACUCUGGUAGUUGGUCCUAAAGUUGAAGUGGUAGCAGCCGGCUGUUUCUCCUUCUCUGUAGGGAUGCACCAAUGCGAUACUGAUAUCGGUAUUGGCACUGAUACUGAUACCAAUACCAGUAUCGGUAUCGGUAAAAGUUAACCGAUACCAAUGCAGUUGCUUGAAAAUGGCUUCACUGUAACUUGUCAUGUCUGUUCACCUAAUAUUUUAGUGUUGUUAGGAUUUCCAUUCAUAUAUUUUACUUUUUAUCUACCUCACAGUCUUUUCCUGUUGAAAGCAGAGAAGAAAGUAAAAUCUGUAUUCCAAAUCAUUGCAUUUUUUUGUGUGGUAGAAGUAUCGGUAUUGGUAAUCGGUAUCGGCGAGUACUCAGAUCCAAGUAUCGGUAUCGUAACGGUUUGGAAGAAAGUGGUAUCCUUGCAUCCCUACUUCUCUGAUGAUAUUGAGCGGAGAACCUCUCACACCAGUGGUGUCCUGUUGCUAAAUACGGGAGUGUGUGAUGAGUUGAGGACCCGGGAAGUUGCAGAAGUGCUCAGUUCGGCAAGACCAACAACCAGAUGGCUAGUUUCGGUCUGAGCCGUGUUUUUGGCAGAGGUUUAUAGACAAAUGAUCUCUACAGUAUAGUUAUAGCUAUGCUAUGUUCCAAUUUGCUAUUGCAGCUUUAACCAAAUGAAUGGCAGGUGUGACAGAUGGAGUUGACUGAAGUGCCGGUAAAUGGUAAAAUGUGGAACGAAGAAAGAAGGGAGAGGAGCUCAAAAUUCCUCCAUAGCAUAAUGAGUUAGAAGCCGAAGUUCGGAUAAGAUGCAUUUGAACAGUCUGCAUCAGCGCAAUGGAAGAACACCUUUAGAGAAGCAAGUGCCCAUUUGUUCUUCUGUGUAUUUUCAGGUGGCAACGCUGGGUCGUGUGUGUGUGUUUAGCGGAGGGCGUAGUUGUUGACAGUAAGGUAAACCCUUUUAGCACGUUCAUAAAGGCAGCAUUUAGCAACGUCACAACAAGUUCUCAAGAGAAACCAAGCCGCCAUCAAACAAGGGCAACGAUGCGCUACAAAGUCACAGCCCCUGAGGAUGGUGGCCGACAUCCAGCCCACCGGCCCCGGUGCAUAACUCACUGCCUGCGUUGAACACAGUUCUUGGUACAUAGCAACAUGAGAGAGGCUUUUCAGUGUGAUUUCCAGUGUGAAGUUAUGGUGUUGAUUAGCGCAGUGACAGCUGCCAUGAUUAAAAUGGCUGAUAGUAAUAGUGCAGCAUUCAUGCAUUGACAACUUUGCUCUGCAUGGCUUUGUGAGUGGUGAUGUAUGACACCAUUAGGGUAACCUCAGGGCCCUGGAGGACACUUAUCUCCCUCGUCACGUCCUUCACACUUCCCAUUCUCGCUCUAACAAAAGGACGCCUGCUCUCUGGUCUGCAUGCUUAUGAAUCGUGAGUACAUGGGGAUCCAGUGUGUGCAAUAUGUCUGCUUAUCCGCUCAUUCUCUGGCUAUUUUUUUUCUUUCUGUGAGCGAUAAUCUGUAAAAAUAUAACCCAUGAUGUGCUUUUAUGCAAAGAGCAUUUUGAAUGAAUUACAGAGUUAUGAUUUUAAAAGUUUUAAAAUCACUGACACACUUUUUUCUGUGAAAUAGUUUCAAAAACUAGGUGAUUAAUUCUGAACUGGCGCUUCCAUUAUGCGUGCUUUCUCCUAUUUACACUAAAAGUAAUAUUUAAGCUGACGUUGCUACAU